AGCGGCCUGAAGGCAGGUAGGCCUCUGUGAGGCUGAGUCCAGAGUUUCUGUUGGCUCAGAAUGGGGGAGUGCGUGCUGAUUGGUCCAUGGGUAGGCUUUGGAAAAAGCACCAUUCAAUUGGUUAAAAGCCAUCAUCCAGAAGGAACCAACUGAGAGAGAGAGAGAGAGGAAUUGCUGACAAGGAGUAAAGUGGGGCUGACUAGGAUUUCUCAUCCCACACACCUCUGGCAGAGGUGCUAAUGAACAGCAGAAUGGCCACAAGGCAGCAUACCCAACGUAGCGAAGAGGCAAGGGAGUGAGGUGUUUACAAUGAAGUUGGCAAAGAUAAUCUCUCAACUGCACCCUGGAAAAAUUUUCCCACUUACUUUGAAAACUACAAGUCAUAAUUUAAUUUCUGAGAAGAUGCAGUAAAUGGAAGUAAAAAAACAUGA
rnacentral:lncRNA from 1 species